AUGGCUUUGUUUUUUCAGCGCCCCGCUCCCCUAACUUGUAAAGAAGCGCAGUCAGAGGUGUUGACUUUACUGCUCCAUCCACGAUCCAGUAGCAUCAGACGUCUCUCCUCCCCUGCAGUAUUCCAGUUGCAUCAAAAACUCUGCAUUCUUUCCUUGCUUCCAGUGGACGUGCUACCAGAACCAGAACUUCGUAGAAAAAGAGAAUCAGGCUUGUACAACAAAUACUUUAGAGAAGAGGAGGAUGAAGCGUUUACCAUUUUUGGCACUAAACGAAGCUGGUAUGGUGUGAACAAACUUUAA
rnacentral:rRNA from 1 species